UCGAAACCUCAAAUGGAUGGU
rnacentral:snRNA from 1 species